rnacentral:rRNA from 1 species
AUCUUGGAAAGGCGCGGGUAACGGGUUGCGGAAACCACGUUGUUGCACCGCCUUUAACUCUGUGGGGGAAUAGCCUUUUCGAAAGAGGAAGAAUUAUUAACCCCUAUAAUUUUGUGUUGGAUUGGGGGCUUCCUAUUUCCGGAACAUUUUUGGAAAAAAUUCCCGGGGUUGGGGGAUUAAGAAGGAAUGGGGGGCCACCGGCCGGCCAAAGGAAUUUAAGGAAUUAAGGUUUUGGGGUGGAAGGGGUAAACCGGGGGUUCCAACCAAAGGUUCUUAACGGAAUCCUUUUUAAGGGGGGGGCCCUGAAGAAGGGGUGGAUCCCCCAAACUGGUAACUGAGACACGGACCAGACUCCUACGGGAGGCAGCAGUGAGGAAUAUUGGACAAUGGGUGAGAGCCUGAUCCAGCCAUCCCGUGUGAAGGACGANUGGCCUAUGGGUUGUAAACUUCUUUUGUAUAGGGAUAAACCUACCCUCGUGAGGGUAGCUGAAGGUACUAUACGAAUAAGCACCGGCUAACUCCGUGCCAGCAGCCGCGGUAAUACGGAGGGUGCAAGCGUUAUCCGGAUUUAUUGGGUUUAAAGGGUCCGUAGGCGGAUCU